rnacentral:rRNA from 1 species
GAUGAACGCUGGCGGCGUGCUUAACACAUGCAAGUCGAACGGAAAGGCCCAAGCUUGCUUGGGUACUCGAGUGGCGAACGGGUGAGUAACACGUGGGUGAUCUGCCCUGCACUUCGGGAUAAGCCUGGGAAACUGGGUCUAAUACCGGAUAGGACCACUUCUUGGAUGUUGUGGUGGAAAGUUUUUUCGGUGUGGGAUGAGCUCGCGGCCUAUCAGCUUGUUGGUGGGGUAGUGGCCUACCAAGGCGUCGACGGGUAGCCGGCCUGAGAGGGUGUACGACCACAUUGGGACUGAGAUACGGCCCAGACUCCUACGGGAGGCAGCAGUGGGGAAUAUUGCACAAGGGGCGCAAGCCUGAUGCAGCGACGCCGCGUGGGGGAUGACGGCCUUCGGGUUGUAAACUCCUUUCGCUAGGGACGAAGCGUUUUGUGACGGUACCUGGAGAAGAAGCACCGGCUAACUACGUG